CCACGGAACCAGCAUCCGGUCCAUGCUUGACAUCGAAGGAACCCCCAGGCUUCUUGACCCGCCAAGCAUUGUGGAAGGACCACGGUUGGUCACCGGGGACAACUCUAGGCCUCUGCCAGUCCCUGGAUGGCAAAGCAAAAUUAGUUCCUCCACAUCUAUCACCCCACAGUUGGUUAGUCUAGAAAUGCAAAAUCUUGCCCUUUGGUUUGUUACUUUAAACAUGGUACUGUCCGUUUACUGAGCAGCUCAGAAGCCCAGGUCCUAAGAACCCCUCUGAGUUACUCAUCACUGAGUUCUCCAAGAAAUGUCAUGUACACCUCAAAUUUCUCUUUGUUUCCUUUGCAUUACCUGAGAUACUCAAGGUGAUGGAAGAGAGGGAGUUGGCUUUACCUCCUCUUAGGGGCAAGGCCACUUUGUCUCCAUCCUCUAAACUCACACAAGUCCUGCACCUCUGGGGGGAGGGAAGUCACCUGCCAAAGUUUUCAGGGUCUGUAGAUCUCAAUGCCCGAAAACCAGAGAAUCUUAGGGAAAUUCCAACUUCCUCAUUUCUAAACAUGGGAGCUAAGAGCUGCCAGACAGAACCCCAAUCUCAGUGUCCCCACACUCUUCUCACUCCCGAAACACCCAGAAUUUCGGGGACUACAGCUGCCAGUUCCUUGGAUGACCUCAGGAUGACCAAUGAAGCAAGAUCGCCAAGGAGUUGCAGCUCUGAGACUCGAAGGCCACCCAAAGCUGAGCCUGUGGGCAGUCCCUAGCACCACAAGAUCCUUGGUGGCUGACCUCAACUCUUUCUUCCAAGAGCCCAAUGGCUGAGCAGCUGCAGAGAAAAUACACUCCUGGCUUGACUAAAGUGGUGGUUUUAUUGCUAGAUGCAGUGUGGACUACCCACAGUCCACAAACACCUGCGAGUCGCGUGGUCGCUCUAACUGAGCCCUGUUUUCUGAUGCCACACAGCACGGCUUGACAACCAAAAAGAAAACUUCAAGACAGUAAAAAGAUUCUUCUUCAUCCCGGGCACCAUUUCAUGCUGUGCCCUUCCUCUCUUUGCCCUGGUUCUCCUCUCCUCUGCCUUCCAGCCUGUGAAGGUGCCGCCCUUCCCCCUUCUCAUACUGUCUGCAUCCCCAGCUAGAGUCCCAUUCCUCCUUCCAGAGAGGAAGAACUUCCCUCUACCUGGGAAUUGUUCUCCAAGUGAAGCUGUCUUAAAAAAAAAAAAAAGAAAAAG